rnacentral:rRNA from 1 species
GACGAACCGUGCGAACGUUGUUCGGAAUCACUGGGCUUAAAGGGCGCGUAGGCGGGCCCGCAAGUCAGGGGUGAAAUCCCACGGCUCAACCGUGGAAGUGCCUUUGAUACUGCGGGUCUCGAGGGAGGUAGGGGCGUGCGGAACUUCCGGUGUAGCGGUGAAAUGCGCAGAUAUCAGGAAGAACACCCGUGGCGAAGGCGGCUCUCUGGGACGGUACUGACGCUGAGACGCGAAAGCGUGGGGAGCGAACAGG